GACGAACGCUGGCGGCGUGCUUAACACAUGCAAGUCGAACGGGAUGAUCUUAAAGCUUGCUUUUAGAGAAUCUAGUGGCAAACGGGUGAGUAACACGUAGACAACCUGCCGACAGGAUGGGGACAACAUUCCGAAAGGAAUGCUAAUACCGAAUGAAGUCAGAGAAGGGCAUCCUUUUCUGAUGAAAGAUGGCCUCUUUUUAUGCUAUCACCUGUUGAUGGGUCUGCGUCUGAUUAGCUAGUUGGUGAGGUAACGGCUCACCAAGGCGACGAUCAGUAGCCGGUCUGAGAGGAUGAACGGCCACAUUGGGACUGAGACACGGCCCAGACUCCUACGGGAGGCAGCAGUGGGGAAUCUUCCGCAAUGGGCGCAAGCCUGACGGAGCAACGCCGCGUGAGUGAAGAAGGUCUUCGGAUCGUAAAGCUCUGUUGACGGGGACGAACGUGCGGAGUGCGAAUAGCGCUUUG
rnacentral:rRNA from 1 species